rnacentral:lncRNA from 1 species
AGAGCGCCUCCGCGGUGGGACGGAGCCGGACUGGGCCGAGCGAGGGAGGCUCCUGAGCCUCGGAGGACCCCGGGGUUGGCUUUGGGAGCUGAAAGUUUCCUUGGACCCCUCGGAAGCCCCGUGACAUCAGAGGCCGGGCCUGGCAGGGGCAGGCAGGAAACGUGUCUGGAGGCUACUGCCCUCUCCGCGUGACCUUGGGCGAGCAGCCUCCUCCUGGGGCUCAGUGGGUGUGAUUUUGUAACAUUUCCCAGCGCUGCCACAGGCGCGUCUCGCCCUGUCCAACGCGGAGCCCGAAGAAUUACUAAGAAACCGAGGUCUGAAGGAGGGAAGAGGUGACGGGCUCGAGGCCACACGGUGGGCCAGGCUGGGCCCGGCUGCACGCCGGCUACCGGGGCCCAGCCCUCUGCACGCCUCCCGCAGCCUCAGUUUCCCUGUCCGUGGUACUGAGGAUGCUCGGGCCUAGAAGUUCAGGGCUGGAGGCCCAGGGACCGUCGAGGGAGGGGCAUCAUCCCCGCCAUGGGGCCGCCGCAACUGCCCAGAGCACAGGCCAAAGGAAGCUGCAGGAUGAAGACAACAGCAUCACAAGGAGGAAGCCAGGAUCCCUGUGUUACCACAAGGAGGAGAGAUGCCUAACCAAGACCGUCUGCAAGGAUUUUGUGUGAGCCAGAAGCAGAGCUGUAUGGUGUUCAGCCACUGAGAUUUGAGGGCUGUUUGUUACAGCAGUUGACCUAUCCUGACUGACACAUCACAUCAUUCCUUUCCCCACCAUGUGUCUAACAUGCUACCAAAUUGAAUUUUAAGUAAAUUAGUACUUAUAAAUUAAGUACAAAUGCUUUUCAAAUUCACAUGAAUCUUUGGUAAAUAAAACUGGUUGUAAAAUUAUUGAUAAAU